rnacentral:rRNA from 1 species
UCCUUGAUUCAGCGGCGGACGGGUGAGUAAUGCCUAGGAAUCUGCCUGGUAGUGGGGGACAACGUUUCGAAAGGAACGCUAAUACCGCAUACGUCCUACGGGAGAAAGCAGGGGACCUUCGGGCCUUGCGCUAUCAGAUGAGCCUAGGUCGGAUUAGCUAGUUGGUGGGGUAAUGGCUCACCAAGGCGACGAUCCGUAACUGGUCUGAGAGGAUGAUCAGUCACACUGGAACUGAGACACGGUCCAGACUCCUACGGGAGGCAGCAGUGGGGAAUAUUGGACAAUGGGCGAAAGCCUGAUCCAGCCAUGCCGCGUGUGUGAAGAAGGUCUUCGGAUUGUAAAGCACUUUAAGUUGGGAGGAAGGGCAGUAAGUUAAUACCUUGCUGUUUUGACGUUACCGACAGAAUAAGCACCGGCUAACUCUGUGCCAGCAGCCGCGGUAAUACAGAGGGUGCAAGCGUUAAUCGGAAUUACUGGGCGUAAAGCGCGCGUAGGUGGUUUGUUAAGUUGGAUGUGAAAGCCCCGGGCUCAACCUGGGAACUGCAUCCAAAACUGGCAAGCUAGAGUACGGUAGAGGGUGGUGGAAUUUCCUGUGUAGCGGUGAAAUGCGUAGAUAUAGGAAGGAACACCAGUGGCGAAGGCGACCACCUGGACUGAUACUGACACUGAGGUGCGAAAGCGUGGGGAGCAAACAGGAUUA